rnacentral:rRNA from 1 species
GAUGAACGCUGGCGGCGUGCCUAAUACAUGCAAGUCGAGCGAACAGAUGAGGAGCUUGCUCCUCUGACGUUAGCGGCGGACGGGUGAGUAACACGUGGAUAACCUACCUAUAAGACUGGGAUAACUUCGGGAAACCGGAGCUAAUACCGGGUAAUAUAUUGAACCGCAUGGUUCAAUAGUGAAAGACGGUUUUGCUGUCACUUAUAGAUGGAUCCGCGCCGCAUUAGCUAGUUGGUAAGGUAACGGCUUACUAAGGCAACGAUGCGUAGCCGACCUGAGAGGGUGUACGCCCACACUGGAACUGGAACACGGUACAGACUCCGACGGGAGGCAGCAGUAGGGAAUCUUCCGCAAUGGGCGAAAGCCUGACGGAGCAACGCCGCGUGAGUGAUGAAGGUCUUCGGAUCGUAAAACGCUGUUAUUAGUGAAGACCAAAUGUGUAAGUAACUAUGCACGUCUUGACGGUACCUAAUCAGAAAGCCACGGCUAACUACGUG